UACGUAGGGAGCAAGCGUUGUCCGGAAUCAUUGGGCGUAAAGCGCGCGUAGGUGGCCCCGUAAGUCCGCUGUGAAAGCCAAAGGCUCAACCUUUGAAAGCCGGUGGAUACUGUGGGACUAGAGUACGGAAGAGGCGAGUGGAAUUCCUGGUGUAGCGGUGGAAUGCGCAGAUAUCAGGAGGAACACCAAUAGCGAAGGCAGCUCGCUGGGACGUUACUGACACUGAGGCGCGAAAGCGUGGGGAGCGAACAGG
rnacentral:rRNA from 1 species